rnacentral:rRNA from 1 species
UACGUAGGGGGCAAGCGUUGUCCGGAUUUACUGGGCGUAAAGAGCAUGUAGGCGGCCAAGCAGGUCCGUUGUGAAAACUGGAGGCUUAACCUCCAGACGUCGACGGAAACCGCGUGGCUAGAGUCCGGAAGAGGAGAGUGGAAUUCCUGGUGUAGCGGUGAAAUGCGCAGAUAUCAGGAAGAACACCAAUGGCGAAGGCAGCUCUCUGGGACGGUACUGACGCUGAGACGCGAAAGCGUGGGGAGCGAACAGG